rnacentral:rRNA from 1 species
CACGUAGGGUGCAAGCGUUGUCCGGAAUCAUUGGGCGUAAAGAGCUCGUAGGCGGCUUAGUAAGUCGGGUGUGAAAACCCCAGGCUCAACCUGGGGACGCCACCCGAUACUGCUAUAGCUAGAGUCCAGUAGGGGAGUGUGGAAUUCCCAGUGUAGCGGUGAAAUGCGCAGAUAUCAGGAGGAACACCGAUGGCGAAGGCAGGUCUCUGGGCCGAUACUGACGCUGAGGAGCGAAAGCGUGGGGAGCGAACAGG